AAAAUUUAGUUUAAGUAAAAACAUUAGAAUGUCAAUCUAAAAAUAUUAAUUUAAUAAUUUUUAA
rnacentral:tRNA from 1 species